rnacentral:rRNA from 1 species
UACGGAGGUGGCUAGCGUUGUUCGGAAUCACUGGGCGUAAAGCGCACGUAGGCGGGUCAGCAAGUCAGGGGUGAAAUCCCGGGGCUUAACCUCGGAACUGCCUUUGAAACUGCUGACCUUGAGGUCGAGAGAGGUGAGUGGAAUUCCUAGUGUAGAGGUGAAAUUCGUAGAUAUUAGGAAGAACACAAGUGGCGAAGGCGGCUCACUGGCUCGAUUCUGACGCUGAGGUGCGAAAGCGUGGGGAGCAAACAGG